GCAAGAAGAAACAUAAGAAUCAGACAGAUCACAAAUAACCCGAAUGUAGAUUGGUCACGAAAGUAUGUUUCAAUCAUUGUUUUGCGUUUCUUCUUUUUCUUCUUCUUCUUAUC
rnacentral:ribozyme from 14 species